rnacentral:lncRNA from 1 species
CUUUAAUGAAUGUUUCCAGCAUCUUGUGAAAUUUAUGCCAUGAAAACCUGGGACUGUUUUGUGAGCAAAUGGAAGCCCUGUCUAGUAUUUGUGUAGUGUUUAUAAUAAAGUGCUCAGUAAAUCACAAAAAAAUGCAAGUGGGUUUAAUUGGAGGUUACUGAGAAUAUUGAGUGUGUUCAUGUGUUUCAGAAAAAAACAAAGCAGAGGGGUAUGAGGAGUCUUCUGGGCAAGGGCAGGAGACUUUACAUGAGGUCAAAAAACACACACACAUGUAUAAGAACCUGCAUGAUAUUUUAUAAUCAUAUUUAUGUGUAAAAUUCUUAUAAAGCUGUUCGUGUCCAGGCUUAUACUUGAUGGUGUAUGGAGUGUUCUGCCAUCUCUGCCGCAUGGUUAUGUUGCUGCUAGACCACUGGGCUGGAGGAGACCAACUUCUUCAGAUGUUCUUCUACUGCUGCAGUGUAAAUACGACAUCAUCAAAGAGCGGCUUUAUAGAGAGAUGCUGCAGGAUGAGCAUGGUGUUGUAUGGUGGGCAUCAAUGCCAUCCCAGGAGCAGGUAAACUGUGUGUGUGAGCUGGGUGAAGCAGCAGAGGAAGCUUUGAAAGAGAAGGACUUGCUCUAUCUGUGUGACCUGCCUGGUGCUCUCUGCUUUUACAGGAACACGGAUGAGGUGGUCCUACAGGCCUGUGGUGAAGCAGUUAAACCCAGGGAUCAGGCAUGGUCAUCGAAACCAAAGGAACAGGCGUGGUCAGCUGCAGUGUUUCUUUCAGAACUGGAGUCUGAAUAUCAGGAGGAGAGAGCUUCUCUCACAGUGCUGCUCCACAGGUCACUCGUCAAUCAUGCUCACAUUGAUUAAUAGCGGUGUAGCUUUGUGUGCUAUUGUUGUGUUGUGUGCUGCUGUAUCUGCAGGGUGGACAAUUCAGUCCUGAGGGAGAUCUAUUUGCGGUUGUGUGUUGCUGUGAGGAGAGCAGAGCGAGAGCUUCACUCCCAAACAGCACUGCUGGCCUCCAAACAAUACUGGGACAAGUGGUGAGUUAACUGGACACACACACAUUAAGCUGAACUGCUUGAAUUUUUG